rnacentral:lncRNA from 1 species
GUUUUGGAUUUGAUGACCAGUUUCUUUUGAUUGGAAAUUACUAUGUUAACUCUGACCUGGAAGACAGUGAAUUUAGAAUGCCCUGUUGAUCUGAACGUCUUGAUCACUGCCUUUGGUGGGCUUUUUAUUAAGCUUGAUGUAGACUUGACUCCUGGAAGCUGGAGAUGCUGACCUCCAUUUUGAAAACGGAAAAUAAAAGCCACAGAUCUAUGAAGGUCUAAGGCGAAGUUCAGAAAAGCUGUAUCGACUGUUGAGACCUGGCGACUUGUUUAAAUUUCAUUAGCCUCACUUCUAUGAACUCUCAGAGCUGAUUACCAACUCCUACCACUUUUAACCCUCAUCCAGGAACGAACUUAUGUGUUUCCCAUUCUGAGUGGGCUUCAACAUCCUUGCAUAUGUUCAGUUCUUAAAAACCUGUUGAAAUGAGAGAUCAGGAGACAUAGGAAGAAUGGCAGAAGAGAGUGUGGUCUGCUGGAGUUUCCUGGUGGUACAUUCCAGAUGCUGUUUGCCUGGGUAUUACUGGCAGAGGCUGCAGAACAGCAAGACUACUGCCCGUUCCUUCCUCUGGAAGCUUUGUCCCAGAGUGACACCCGUCAGAUGCCAGCCAGAGCUUUCCUGUAUGAAGUGUCGGUCAGCCCCUCCUGGGAGAUGUCUCCAAGUCAAGGUUUCUGUGCUUUCUCUCACACCACCAACGCUCUGUCUGGCAGAAGCUGAGACCACGGCUGCUGUCUUUCUUCCCAUACUGAAAGGCUGUGCUGCACAAAGUAUUGCUUCAUGCUGCUUUCCUGAUCCACUUUGCAUAACUGCCUGGAAGAAAGUACUUUUAUGGAUAAUCCAAAGAGGGAAAUAUACUGAGCAUUACUUUAGCAUAUUUUAUGGGUUAAAUCCAUUAAAAACACUGUUAAAGUGA